CCGGGUAGUUAAAAAUAUUAUUUUUUAAAUUUUCUUUUUCUGAAUAAUAAUAUAUAAUCAAAAUUUUUAUUCAGAAAAAAAAAUUUUAAAAAUAAUAUUUUUAAC
rnacentral:miRNA from 1 species